rnacentral:rRNA from 1 species
AUUAGCUAGUUGGCGGGGUAAAGGCCCACCAAGGCGACGAUCCGUAGCUGGUCUGAGAGGAUGAUCAGCCACACUGGAACUGAGACACUGCCCAGACUCCUACGGGAGGCUGCAGUCGAGAAUCUUCGGCAAUGGGCGCAAGCCUGACCGAGCGACGCCGCGUGGAGGACGAAGGCCUUCGGGUUGUAAACUCCUGUCGAGGGGGAAGAAGGCCCCGCAAGGGGCUUGACUGAUCCCUGGAGGAAGCACGGGCUAAGUUCGUGCCAGCAGCCGCGGUAAGACGAACCGUGCGAACGUUAUUCGGAAUCACUGGGCUUAAAGCGCGUGUAGGCGGGGCGGCACGUCGGUCGCUGAAGCCCCCGGCUCAACCGGGGAAGCGGCGCCGAUACGACCGCCCUGGAGGGACGUGGGGGGACCUGGAACUUCCGGUGGAGCGGUGAAAUGCGUUGAAAUCGGAAGGAACGCCCGUGGCGAAAGCGAGGUCCUGGACGUCUGCUGACGCUGAGACGCGAAAGCCAGGGGAGCGAACGGGAUUAGAUACCCUGGUAGUCCACGCCGUAAACGAUG